ACUCAGCAGGUGAUUGUAUGUUAUUUCUAUAUACGUUUACGAUUUAAGGUAAUAGUGUUUCAAGUUUACGUGGUACAUUUUCUUAGAGCUGAACAUUCAUACUGAAAUUGUAUGCAAUUUCUUGAUUUAAAAAAAAAAAGUGCAUUGAGAUCCAGAAGGCGCUGCCACUGCUAUCAAACAAAAUCUACAAGUCAAAUGGCUUCGCUUCCCUUUAGUGCAAGGAACUGCACAUUUGCUCGAGGUUAGAAAGUCUUCUAGUCCGGGGUGAAUCCCCUGGUAACUGUUUGGUCCACUUUAAUUUUAUGAUGCGUGUCGCCUUUAUUAAGUUCACAGGGCUUGGCAAAUUCCAGCUUUGAAGCCAGAUCCCUUACAUCCUGCCUUCUCCAUUUAGACACCAGCUUCAAAAAUAAUCUUUUUGAAUAUUUAAAGGAUCAGAGGACUGUUUAAAUCCCUCUUAAGACAGAAGCAGGAUUGUGCGACCAUCCCCCCCUCUUCAGUAGAUAACCCACAGGACAAAGGAAGCAGCAGCCAUCAAACGCAGCCCCUGUAGGAAGCCACCUAGGAAGGGGUCUUGUGAGUACCAGAGAGAAACGGAAGUCCUUCAUAGAAGUUACUGCUGUCAGGAAACUACGUGUGCUUUAGGGUAGAGGUGGGGGGAUGGGGUGAUUUGGGUACAAAUGAAUUCUUAAAGUGGGCAGUUUGGGGGAUUGAGAGGCAAUUCACAUAACGUGAAAUUCAAAAGUAAUUUUAAAGUGUAUGAUUUAGUGUUAAUAUUAUCAUCAAGUCACAGAGCAUUGUCUUACCCAAGAAAACAAUCACCCCCAAAAGAAACAGUUUAUUCAUUAAUAAGCAGUCAAUUCUUAGCCCCAGGCAACUUCUAAUCUAUUUUCAACCUCUGUAGCUUUAUUGAUUGGUCUUGGACAUGUUUUUUGGUUUUGUUUUUUUUUUUCAACUGUUCGAUUCUUUUAUGACUGGCUGUUUUAGCUUAACAUGUGUCCAAGGCUCAUCCAAGUGAUGGCAGGAAUCAUACUUCUUAUGUGAAUAAUAUUCCAUGUAUAGCUAUACCACAUUUCUUUAUUCAUCUGUUGGUGAACAUCUGUUGUUUUUCUACACUGGGUCUAUCCCCGUUCAAGUUUUAUGUGGUUGUAUUUGCAAUUCCAUCAAAUAUGCCUGAGUAGAGUCAGUGGGUUUAUGGUAAUUAAUUUCUUAAGAUUGGGUUUCACUGAGCUGCCCAGUUUGACCUCAAUCUUUAUCUCCCAAGGGCUAAGAUUUUCAAGCAUGCAUCGUCACACGCGACUAAGUUUAACUUUGAGGAAGUUCAAACUGCCCUCCUUGUUGACGCCUUUACAGAAGGUCCAUUGCUCCUCUUCCAUGGCCCCGUUGUUAAUUUCUCAGUGAGAGUAAAGUGGUGUCUCCUGGUACACAGGGGAUAGGUACUCAAAUUACCUGCGAUGGUUUCUCACAAGAACGUAUAGUGGUUUGAAUGCCUCUAUAGUUUUAUGUGUUUGAAUGUUUAGUCACCUGGGAGUAGCACUGUUGGAAAGCAUUAAGGGGUGUGGCCAUGACAGAGGAAGUGUAUCACUGGGUGUGGACUCUGCCUGUGAAUCAGGAUGAAGCUCUUGGCUACUUCUCCAGCACAUGCUUGCCAUCCCUGCCGCCAGGAUGAUUAGGGACUGAGCCUCUGAAACUGUAAGCCAGCCCCAAUCGAAUACUUUCUUUUAUGAGUUCCUCUGGUCAUGGUGUCUCUUCACAGCAAUAGAAUAACUACUAACACAGGAACUUGCUGCUUCACUCUUACACAACUAACUAUCCUACUAAGCUUUAAAUAUCAGUCUGACAACCUAUCCUUGUCUGAAGGGAGAAGUACCUGGAGCGGACUGGCCUGCAGGCAUGUCUGUGAGCGAGUCUCCUAAUUUAUAAUUGAUGCAGGAGGGCUAAGUCCACCUUGGGCGGUACCAUCCCUACGUAGUAGGUCCUGGUGGUAUAAGAAAGCCUUUGAAUGAGCCAGCGAGCAGCCUUUCCCCAUGGUUUCUACUCUAGUCUCUGAUUUCCCUCCAUGUCUGACCGACAAGCAUAAGCUGAUGUGAACUCUUUCCUCCCCUGAGUUGCUUAUGGUCAGGCUGUUUUAUCGCCGGAAAGAAAACUAGGACGCCCUAUAACUUAAUGCUUACUUUUUUCAUUUAGCAGCAAAGGUGUGACUUCUCUGUGUUCGGUGUGAAUAAUGGCUAGAUAAUGAGUGUGAAGGGAUAACGACCUCUGGAACCCAAAGCUGACUCUUUCCUGAGCUCCACUUCCUCUGUCGCCACCAUCACUGCUCACCGUAGGCUGUAGGCUGCACAGACUGGCAGCCAUGCUGCCCCUUGAGUACCCAGCAUUCUCCAUUCAUGGGGCAGGGGCUAGCAUCAGGCCAUAGCCUUCGCCUGAGCCCCCAACACAGCCAAGUGUUGUUUCCGAAAUUAUCCUGCAUUCUGGAGCUGUGGGAGACAAAUUUUCUAGCUUCCUCUGGGGUGAGGGUGACCUUAAAUGUAUCCUUUACCUGUCUGUGUUCCCAUGGGCAAUAGUAAAAUCAGUAACAAACGUUCUCAGAACAAACCACUUCAUACUGUGCCAGACAAUGGAGAAGAGAGUAGCCGGCAAACACCUCAGUUCUUUUAGAGUGAGAAAAAAAUAGGGAUAAAUUAACAAAAGGAGCAUCGUGUGUCUUCCCGGCGGAGACUUCCGGGAUCUCCGCCAGCUCCUUCCUCUUUGGUAAUCCAGUGCUUGCUUCAUCAUGGUAGGAUGUGAGCAUGUCACGCACGUCAGACGGCUUUAUAAUGGGGCUUCAGGUCAUCUGGCUGUCACUGUCAGCCAUUUUAAACUCAACCAGUUUCGGCUUGCCUGCAGGCCUUCGAGCAUCAAAGACAAGUAAGACUGGGUUGCAUCAAGAUUCUGCCAGGUCUCUGGAGAUACAGAGAAGGUGCAGAGCCCCUCCCAGGCCUUCAGCAAUCCAGAAACCCUCUCUGCAGUCCGUCUGGUAGCAGUUGAUGGGACUGAACUCAGGCCCCUGUUCCCACAGCUGUUCAGUCUUCCAGAGCUGGGAAACGGCUCACGCCAUCUCUUCCUCAAAACAGAGUGUUCUGAAUAGAAUUGAAGACCCAGAAAUGAACCCACACACCUAUGGUCACUUGAUUUUUGACAAAGGAGCCAAAACCAUCCAAUGGAAAAAAGAUAGCAUUUUCAGCAAAUGGUGCUGGUUCAACUGGAGGGCAACAUGUAGAAGAAUGCAGAUCGAUCCAUGCUUAUCACCCUGUACAAAGCUUAAGUCCAAGUGGAUCAAGGACCUCCACAUCAAACCAGACACACUCAAACUAAUAGAAGAAAAACUAGGGAAGCAUCUGGAACACAUGGGCACUGGAAAAAAUUUCCUGAACAAAACACCAAUGGCUUAUGCUCUAAGAUCAAGAAUCGACAAAUGGGAUCUCAUAAAACUGCAAAGCUUCUGUAAGGCAAAGGACACUGUGGUUAGGACAAAACGGCAACCAACAGAUUGGGAAAAGAUCUUUACCAAUCCUACAACAGAUAGAGGCCUUAUAUCCAAAAUAUACAAAGAACUCAAGAAGUUAGACCGCAGGGAAACAAAUAACCCUAUUAAAAAAUGGGGUUCAGAGCUAAACAAAGAAUUCACAGCUGAGGAAUGCCGAAUGGCUGAGAAACACCUAAAGAAAUGUUCAACAUCUUUAGUCAUAAGGGAAAUGCAAAUCAAAACAACCCUGAGAUUUCACCUCACACCAGUGCGAUUGGCUAAGAUCAAAAACUCAGGUGACAGCAGAUGCUGGCGAGGAUGUGGAGAAAGAGGAACACUCCUCCAUUGUUGGUGGGAUUGCAGACUGGUAAAACCAUUCUGGAAAUCAGUCUGGAGGUUCCUCAGAAAAUUGGACAUUGAACUGCCUGAGGAUCCAGCUAUACCUCUCUUGGGCAUAUACCCAAAAGAUGCCUCAACAUAUAAAAGAGACACGUGCUCCACUAUGUUCAUCGCAGCCUUAUUUAUAAUAGCCAGAAAAUGGAAAAAACCCAGAUGCCCUUCAACAGAGGAAUGGAUACAGAAAAUGUGGUACAUCUACACAAUGGAAUAUUACUCAGCUAUCAAAAACAACGAGUUUAUGAAAUUCGUAGGCAAAUGGUUGGAACUGGAAAAUAUCAUCCUGAGUGAGCUAACCCAAUCACAGAAAGACAUACAUGGUAUGCACUCAUUGAUAAGUGACUAUUAGCCCAAAUGCUUGAAUUACCCUAGAUCCCUAGAACAAACGAAACUCAAGACGGAUGAUCAAAAUGUGAAUGCUUCACUCCUUCUUUAAAUGAGGAAAAAGAAUACCCUUGGCAGGGAAGGGAGAGGCAAAGAUUAAAACAGAGACUGAAGGAACACCCAUUCAGAGCCUGCCCCACAUGUGGCCCAUACAUAUACAGCCACCCAAUUAGACAAGAUGGAUGAAGCAAAGAAGUGCAGACCGACAGGAGCCGGAUGUAGAUCGCUCCUGAGAGACACAGCCAGAAUACAGCAAAUAUAGAGGCGAAUGCCAGCAGCAAACCACUGAACUGAGAAUAGGUCCCCUAUUGAAGGAAUCAGAGAAAGAACUGGAAUAGCUUGAAGGGGCUCGAGACCCCAAAAGUACAACAAUGCCAAGCAACCAGAGCUUCCAGGGACUAAGCCACUACCUAAAGACUAUACAUGGACUGACCCUGGACUCUGACCCCAUAGGUAGCAAUGAAUAUCCUAGUAAGAGCACCAGUGGAAGGGGAAGCCCUGGGUCCUGCUAAGACUGAACCCCCAGUGAACUAGUCUAUGGGGGGAGGGCGGCAAUGGGGGGAGGGUUGGGAGGGGAACACCCAUAAGGAAGGGGAGGGGGGAGGGGGAUGUUUGCCCGGAAACCGGGAAAGGGAAUAACACUCGAAAUGUAUAUAAGAAAUACUCAAGUUAAUAAUAAAAAAAAAAAAACAAAAAAAAAAAA